rnacentral:rRNA from 1 species
GUAGGUGGCAAGCGUUAUCCGGAAUUACUGGGCGUAAAGCGUACGUAGGCGGUUCGUUAAGUCUGUCGUGAAAUCUUCCGGCUCAACCGGAAGGGGUCGAUGGAAACUGCCGGACUUGAGGGGCGUAGAAGCGAGCGGAAUUCCCGGUGUAGUGGUGAAAUGCGUAGAUAUCGGGAGGAACACCAGUGGCGAAAGCGGCUCGCUAGGCGCUACCUGACGCUGAGGUACGAAAGCGUGGGGAGCGAACCGGAUUAGAUACCCGGGGGUAGUCCACGCCGUAAACGAUGGAUGCUAGACGUGGGGAGUAUCGACCCCUUUCUGUGUCGUCGCUAACCGCAUUAAGCAUCCCGCCUGGGGAGUACGGCCGCAAGGCUA